GUGCUAAGAGAAGGCAGAGAAGAUGUUGUUGAAUUUGUGAAUGGUGCAAGUCUCUAACGGAUGCUAUUUGGAUGAAAGAAUUAGUGUUCCGUAAGAUCUUGAAAAGGACUGAGAAGUGCAAAAAUAUCCAGAAAGAAGAAUUUCACAGGAAUAAGAUGAUGCUUCAUAAUGUUUUAUAACAUUAGAUCAUCUUUCUUCCUGAAUUCAUUGCUUGCAUCCUGGGUAUGGCUGAGAUGAUGAGAAUAAGAUGGCAGUGAAGAAAUAAAAUGCAGGAACAGGAAAUUCAUGGUUGACGUUCAAACCUGCUAAAAUAUUAAAAAAUGAAGUUCUUAGACUGAGCACGAGUGGCAGAGAAAGGGCCCUCACCUAGCCAGCCAAACAUCUUGUCACUUGACAUCAAAACAUUUUCUUCAGGACCUUGCAGAGACUUGUCCAACUGACUCAUGAGAUGAAAAAUGUUUGCUAAGCAGAGAAACUGAGAAUGCACUUGUCUAAAUGAGCACAGUCCUACUGCACACUGUCUUACAGAGCUACAAGACUGUUGAUGAAACUGUUGAUGAAACUGCUGCUGGGGCCAUUCAGUAAUAAUCCAUCACUGCAAGUGCAAACAUUGUGGGCAUUAAGGAACAACUACCAUUGAAAGAAAACAUAUUAAAAGAAAUUUCUAAUAAGACAGGGAACUUCCAUGAAUUUCAUUGAAUUUAUGUGACAAACACUGAAAUUGUUACUAUUAUUAUCCCAUUACAGAAACAAGUUCCUUUAAUAUAUACCUCAAUGGACUUUGCUCCUAAUCAGCUUUUCACAGAGCAAUAUAAAGGCAGGAUUAGAAGGCAUACAUAUAACAAAAAAGGUCUCUUUUUUCCAUAGCAAUAGGUUGGUCACAGAUUUUCUUAAAAACAAUUGAAACCACUUAAACUUCUGCUUCAGAUAUAGAAAAUCUCAAGAAAGCAUCAUUCCCAAAUUGAAAGAGAGAACACACUGGAUAAUCUACAAAAUUAUGUAUUUUUUAAAGUUUAUCUUUUAAAAGAGAUAUGAGGUUGUGAUGGAAACUAAUAGAUUGAAAUUCAGAAAGUAAUGAGCUCCUCCUAGGAAAGAAGAGAUUCAUGAUUGCACCCAUCCUUGUUAGAGCAAUGGGAGGGGAAGGCAGCUGCCACAGGUGUGAAAAGAGAAGAAUUGACCUUGUGUUGAGUUUUUAAAGGCUGAAUGUGGACAGAUUUAGUCACUUAAAAGACCCAGAAGUCUUGGAGAAAAUAAAAAUACGCAUAACUCUUUUCCAAGGACCUUCACUUAGUGCUUAUGAGAGUAGAGAAUUGAGAAAAACACGUUCUAAGGUAUAGUGACAUCAGGCUUGCUUAAGUCUGAAGGAGAACUGAGAGAAACCCAGCAUGCACUCCAGGCCAUAUGAUGAGUACCAGAUAGUGACUAUUUGCACCUUGCAUGAGAGCAGAAAAGAAAACUCUUCCGAGAUGCAGGUGCAUAGGGCCUGCUAAUGGCUAAGAAGAGGGCAGAAAACCUGAGACAUGCUCCAGGCACUCAGACUCCAAGCUCUAAUAAAGGAAAGAUUUGUUUCUGCCAUCACAUCAUUUGAAGACUGAGUGAAAUGAAUCUAUAAAUCAACAACAAGAAUCUAGACACAUGAUGUUCAACAGACUAGAUUGAAUCUAUAAAUCAACAACAAGAAUCUAGACACACGAUGUUCAACAGACUAGAUUGUGUUCAACAGACUAGACUGAUGUUCAACAGACUAGACAGACUAGAUAGUGGCCAGACAGGAGACAUGCACCCUUUUGGGGCAUAAAUAUAAUUUAUGUCAGUCACCACUCUUCAUUAAACCACUAUGUCUUAUAUUCAAUUAAAAUUUAUGAGAAACAUGUUGAAGC